GAUAAACGCUGGCGGCGCACAUAAGACAUGCAAGUUGAACGGACUUAAUCUAAAUAUUUAUAUUUUGAAGCGGUUAGUGGCGGACUGGUGAGUAACGCGUAAGGAACCUGCCUAUUAGAGGGGAAUAACAGUGAGAAAUCAUUGCUAAUACCGCAUAUGCCAUAGAUAUCACAUGAUAACAGUGGGAAAGGAGCAAUCCGCUAAUAGAUGGCCUUGCGUCUGAUUAGAUAGUUGGUGGGGUAACGGCCUACCAAGUCGACGAUCAGUAGCCGGACUGAGAGGUUGAACGGCCACAUUGGGACUGAGAUACGGCCCAGACUCCUACGGGAGGCAGCAGUCGGGAAUAUUGCGCAAUGGAGGAAACUCUGACGCAGUGACGCCGCGUAUAGGAAGAAGGUUUUCGGAUUGUAAACUAUUGUCGUUAGGGAAGAGAAAGGACAGUACCUAAGGAGGAAGCUCCGGCUAACUACGUG
rnacentral:rRNA from 1 species